AUGCUAACGGUGAAACGUUGUGAUAUGGUAACAGAGGCCACCACCGAAGUGGCGUCUCUCAAGAAGGCGCUGUCCGAGGCCGAACACAAAGUGGCCUUGGAACUCAAGGAGCGCAAAAAGCAAGAGGACCGAGUGGGCGAGGUACAAGAAGAGCUCCAGGAGCUCGGCAAGAAUCUCGAGUCCGCGGAGCAUGAGCUUAAAGCAAAAGAGGCCGAGCUUGCGAAGGCCCUUACAAAUAUAAAAGACACCAAGGCCAAAGCCGAGAGGGCACAUCAGGAGAUCCAGGAGGCCAAAAAGAUAGCGGCGGGGGCAUUCACAGAUCUGCCACACCACGUCUCAGAUGCCGCGGAGUUCUACCGUGCUCAGGAGGGGAGCUCAACGGAGAAGUUGUUCUGGUCCCAGUAUGCUGGGGCCGAACAUCCAACGCCUCUGAGUGACCAACUGAAGCAGUUGGUCGAACUCCACAAGGCGGCCGAAGUGGCUAUGAAGGAUCUCAUAGUCCGGAUAUGGCCUGGUGAGCUUCUGCCCACCAGCUACUUCGGCCUGAUCAAGUGGAUGGUGGAUGCCUGUCCGCGACUGGAAGUUAUCAAGUGA
rnacentral:rRNA from 1 species